rnacentral:rRNA from 1 species
UACGUAGGGUGCGAGCGUUGUCCGGAAUUAUUGGGCGUAAAGAGCUCGUAGGCGGUUCGUCACGUCGGCUGUGAAAUCCCGAGGCUCAACCUCGGGUCUGCAGUCGAUACGGGCGGACUUGAGUACUGCAGGGGAGACUGGAAUUCCUGGUGUAGCGGUGAAAUGCGCAGAUAUCAGGAGGAACACCGGUGGCGAAGGCGGGUCUCUGGGCAGUAACUGACGCUGAGGAGCGAAAGCGUGGGGAGCGAACAGG